ensembl:lncRNA
CAUGUCAGGAAAAGCUAAAUGUCAUUAACAAAGGAAAAAGUAAGCCCUUAUGUGUAAUUCUUAUGUUUGCAAAAAGUCAGUGCAGCCAAGAUAUGAAAUGUAGCCAUUUGUCAUCAGGUGCUGUUUUUCAUUUGCAUUGUAUUUUCCAGUUAACACUCCUCUCUCCAGCAUCUGAUUUCAUAGCAGGGAGAGCUAACAUUCCUAAGGACACAGGCAGUGGGAGCCAUGGGAUUUCUGCAAAAUCCUCACUAAUGUUGAAGGAAGAGACUAUCUUGGGAACACAGCCCCAUUUCUUGUCUUUGCUCAUAUCCAGAGACAACCGUGGUAAAACCUGCAGCCACACGUGCCCACAAAGAGCACGUUCUGUCUGACAUUUCAAGCCUUGCGUGAGGAUCCCAAACCAGCUUGUGUUUCAGCUGGGAGUGGAGCAGAACAGUACCAGAGCUGCUUAGCCAUGAACCAGGGAAACGUCAGCGCUAAACUCUACUUCAGAAUGGUCUAGGAUUCAGCAGAGCCGGCAGUGACAUUGGUGAAGCUGAUGGCUGAGGCCAACUGUGCACAUCUUAGAGGAAAUUUCAGCAGAAAUGAAUGGUGGUGAUGAAAGGUUAAUGGCAAGCAUUGGCACCACAGCCAUUUCCAGAAUACUCCAUCUCUCCCUCAAGCUCAGAAGUAUGCUUGUUGCAAAUUUGGCCAGGUGAUCAUGGGCACAUGGUAAGCAAAAUGAAGAAGUCUGAGUGGGACGGUUGUGAGAGAAUCUGUUCUUUUCUAGCAUGAAUAAAAUGCAAGCAACUCCUGGACUUGCCUGGAGCUUGCUUUGUCCGCUCUCUAGCUGUAAACAGUAAUUAAAACCUUGAGCUGUCGAAUCUGUUUUGUGACACUGUGGCUCGCUGUUUUGCAUCAAGUUUUAGUAUGAAAAGUCUCCUUGCUCUGUCUGCUCCUGGGCAACAGGCAGCACUUUUUCAUCUCUCUGAGGAUUUGGGAGGAGGACUUGUUGGAGGCAGCAAUGCCAUCUUGCUGCUUCUUCAUGACAUUUAAAGGCUUGAAGCAGAAAACCUGAGAUGAUACGAAAAAAGCAAAAGAAACAGGCACCUGUGAAAGAUUCCAUAAGCAGUAAUUUGAAAAGAUCUUCAUUCAAACAGAAAACAUUCUAUCUAAGUGCAUUCCAAAGAAUCAAAAGCACACUGGAAAAGAUGUCAGAACUCUGAUUUCCUGUCAUUUCAUUCAUUCAUCAUGUUUAUCCUCCUGGGAAAUAUAUUCAUAUGUUUCUCUCACAGCACUAAAAGAUGGCUACAACUAUCUCGAGUGAUCUCAACAAUGAUUUGUUACUCAGACAGAGUGCGGAGCCUUACUGAGAGCCAGAUUGAGAGAAAUACAAAAACUAAAAACUACCUUUGUGGAAUCAAAAAGGGUAUUUGAGGACCUGCAACAUAAUGCACUGGAACAUAAAAUGUAAGACUUUUCCCGUUUGAGUAAAUUUUUAUAUUGUUGAUUUUUUGCGAAGUUAAAUUACAGCUACAUAAAGGGAUUUUUAUAUAUACUGAAAAUUAACUUUAUGUUAUGCACAAGUUGCAUUUCUACUUCAUAUCUACUUCUACUGGAAUGCCAGUUCCUAUAAAAUCUAUCUGAUCUUUCUACCUGAAUCAGAAACGUCACCACUUUUAGGGUAUUAAAAGAAAUGGUUCCUUUGUAAAUGGUAGAGCAUCUUACAGUAUUUAAAAAGUACAAUAAUGAGACUCAGACACAAACUAAGUUGCCAUAAACAGGCUUAUUUUUCUGCACUUAGUGUGGCAUUUUCCAGUAAUAGCAUUUUCUACAACAAAAGUGAGAAUUCAGUUUUGCUCAAAGAAAUAAUCACCUUAGCUUUUCAAUGUGCACAUUUUUAUCUGUCAGUUGUGUAACACCAACAUGGAUAUAUAACGUAAUUUAGAGUGUCUUGAGCUGGAAUUUAAAAUAGCUACAGACCAAGAUUUGAUAUUGGAAAUACAAACAAUGUGUAUGCAAAUAUCACACUGGAAAAGCAUGUGUAUCUGUUUUGCAUGUCACCUAAUAGAAAGCCUAUUCGUUAAGGCUUUCAAAUAAAAUUGAGUUAAACCACAGAUGUGCUUAAAGCACAAAGGUUUUUCUUUCCACUGUCCAUCUUAUUUGUACUUUAAACUGAUGCUGAAUACAAAUUCUGAACACUUCUAAAUCCCUGGAAAUGUAUUUUGGAAUAUCCAUCAAAUGCAGGGCUGGGAUCUAAAAAAUUAGUGAUUGCAUAGUGGGACACAGGGGGUAUUUCUAUAUGUUCCUGUGUAUGCAUGAGCUCUCCGCCAUUCGUAGCAGCCGUUUGAUGAUGAAUGUCUUACUAAGAAGGGAAGUUCUACGCUUAUUCAAAUCAUUAUUUUGAAAUAAGUAAAGCAUAAAAAUAAGGACUCCUAACCUCAUAGGUUUGCCAUUAAUUUAAUUAAAAAAUGACAUGCUAUAAAAAAAAAAUAAAAUCAAUUGUAAAGAGGAGAAACAGGAAAAAUAUUUUUAAAUGCUCCAGGUCCCAUGCAUUACUUGCAUUGCACAACAUCACUCAUGAGCCACUCAGUAAAAUUUGACUUACUUUGGAGAAGGAGUCAACCGACGAAGCAUUUUAGAGUCCUGAGGAUUUAUAAUGUCAGCGUUACAAGCCCUUCUGAGAAUAGAUAACAAUUCUGUUAACACAAACGCAAAGGCUACUUUUCUGCUUAAAAGUUAUGAUACCAGCAUCCACUUAUUAAAUGCUUGAAUGUGUCUUAUGCCACAUCCAUAUUACUUGCUUAUAAAUUGACUAUUUCUUAAUAUGAGACGAUAUAAAAAUACUGUCACAAUCUCCUGUGUGAAUUCAAACUUUAUAGAAAAUACUUUCGUUUACCUCAUUGCUUUCACUUAAAAGAAAAAGCAUCACACUACUUUAGGUAUCCAGAAUCCUGGUGUGUCCAUGCACAGUGUUUUAUGACAUCUGCAUUUUACAGGAAGAGGGGGAGGAACAACACAGUUUUUACAUUAACAUAGAUAUACUAGAGAAGUGCCAUUAUUGAGUUAGCUACCUACUCCUGUCCAUUCAUGAAUGAAUAAUGUUAGAAUUAACAUGAGCUAUAGUGCAUUAUUUAUUAUUUCUCUGGGUUUGAUGCUUAGCAGAGGUGCUAAAGGUCUAAUGCCUUUUAAAUGUAAUUCAUUUCCCUUUUUAAUAUGUUUUGCUUGCUAAAAGAGACACUUCAAUUUUCCUUUGCUAUUGGUAUUUUGGGAAAAUCUUUCUUAAAUUAGAGUAAUAUUGAAAUUAUUUCAAGUUAAUAGUUAAAUAAAUAGAACAAUUAAUUCAAAGCAUGCAAUUAUUUAGUUUUAAGGAAUAGACCCUGAAGUAAACUUGAAAUGUGUCUAUUUGGUUAUAACCUGUACCUGUACCAUGAAAGUGAAAACAAAAUUAUGCUCUUAUGCUCAUUUUCUCUAAUAUUUAUUUCUGAAGGUUCAAGAAUUGCUAGCAAGAAAGCAUCCAGACUGAAAGCCUGGCACUACUGAAGUAAUAGGAGUUUCAUUCACAGUAGCACAACCCCUUCAGUGAUUGUUUGUUCUUGUUUAAACAAGAUUCUUAUUUAUGCUGUUAAAGACUGAAGAUUAAUAUUUUAUGAUUCAUAAUACAUGUUGUUGAAGCUUGGUGAAGCAGGCAGUAAAACAGACACUUCCUAAGAAGCAUUUUCAGCACAAGCAAAAUUGCCCAGACAUUGCUCAAAAGAGGCUGUCCAAAUGGGCCCGAACAGUCGAGUGAUCUGUAUAGAAAUUAAGAGUAUUAGUUACAAGCUGGGAAAACACCCUUUCUAAUUGUAAAAAUAUAGCUGUUGUGUGUCAAGGGCAAAUUAAACAGAGAAAGCCUCCAGAAUCUUACAAACCACUGUGAGAAUGCUUUCUCACCUGUGGGUAUAUCUGAUUAUCGGUCUUAAGUUAUGAGGCUUUUUGGCAAGGUAUGCAAAUUCCUGCAAUGAAUUCAGUCUACUAAAAGCAAGCUGUUGGCUAGUGCUCUUGGCAAGCUUAGGGUUUGCAAUGAGCCUUCUGCAAAAAAUGUUUCGAUCCUUAAUCAUUUUGGAGAACAAUUGCUUCCUCAGGGCUUCUGUCUGCAAUGUGAGUUGACGUGUUUCUUCUGUUGAGAUGCUAUGUGAUGUGUCCCAGUUAAACACCUUAAUUUGGAAUGGAGUAUUAAUUUAUUCUUUGAAUUUGUUAACUACAUUUUCAAGGGUUUUCACAAUACCUCUGAAGUUCCCUAUGCAUCUCCACGUAACUUCCCAAACUGCAACUUUCCAGAGUCCAAAGAAUAUCCUAAUCAGGAUCAUAGAAUCAUAGAGUCAUAGAAUGGUUUGGGUUGGAAGGGACCCUUAAGAUCAUCUAGUACCAAUCUCCCUGCUAUAGGCAGGGACAUCUCCCUCUAGACCAGUUUACUCAAAGCCCCAUCCAGCCUGGCCUUGCAUGCUUCCAGGGAGGGGGCCCAAUCACUAAAAGAAAACUCCCAAACAACCCAAAUUACAAGUACGUAGCCUGCAGUGGACACAAAAAGGUAGGCAGUGCUAGAAGGAUCUUCUUUCUCUGAAUAUUUAUAAGGAUGUUUAAUGAUAAACAAGAUGAACAAGAUGAAGAGUCACCACACCCUCAAGUUUUCUUCAGAUAAUGAAUUAACAGGUACUGUGGUGCACUUUAUUCUUAACGUCAUUAUUAACAAGCAUUCCAGACAUCAAUAGAUAUUGUGAAAUUCAACCAUUGCAAUUGUAUAUGUUGCCUUGCAAAGGCAUCUAGGUGGUUAUGUGGGCUAAGCGAUGAGACUGACUGGCCUUGGUGGGCUGCUCCUCCUGUGUGCAAGCAUCACAAGCUCCUCCUGCACUGCCUUCAGUCUUUGCUGGUGAAUAGAACACAGGCAUUUUUCAGCUUGAAAUCUCUUUUAGGAUCUCAAUAUCCUUUUAUUUUUCUUUGUUGUCAUGUUUACCAUUACCAUUAGAAGAUGGUACAUACAUUAUCAGUUACGAAAUGUGGUGAAAAAUCCAUACCAAGAAUAAUCUGAAACUUUCUUCUGUAGAAGGGGGUACAAGAAUAGCACAUUUUCUAUCCACUAAAUCCCUGCUAAUUUUGGGAAUUUCAGCUGAUCACAAAGGAUUGUGAAGGAAAAGAACAGCAAUAGUAGCAGCUUAGAUCUGGACAGCUUCUUCCUCCAUUUUAAAAUGAACAAAGCUUAGACCCACAGUAACUUUAUUUAACUCCUGUUUAUUCUAGUGGUAAUUAUAAAAUUAAGUAAGGAGUAGACAAUGAAUGUGUGUUAGGAAACUUGGUCUAUGUGGUUUGAGUGGGAUUGUGUUGAAACUUGUUCUCUAAGCCUUUUAAAUGUCUCUCACCUAAAACCUUAAGGUAAAGUAUGAAACUGUAAUGAACAAAUAAAGAAAUUAAAACUAUCUAAUUAAUUAAACUCAUGGAAAAUUAGUAUUAAAAUUGCAUUCCUUGCAGUACUCAGACUAUUAUUUACAGCUAUUUUUUUUUAAUUUCAUAUCAAAACUAUAAAUGGCUUUAAUAGCAAAGACACUUCAGAAAAUGCACUUUCUAUAAACCAUUUUAAUUUUGCUAUUGCACUGAAGUGAAGGCACACAAUUAGAUUAUUAUUAUCAUUAUUAUGUGUGAAAAUCCAUGUGACCAUUUCUGUGUGCUUAUGAUUUUUUCCCCUGACAUUUUGGAAGUGCAGAAUGCUUACAGAUUUCCAGCUGCCCCAGUAUAAAGCAAGUGAGCAACCAAAGCCACACUCUGAGUUAAAAAAAAUAAAUGACCUUGUAGUCAACACUCAUUAACCAAUCAACCAAACAAACAAAGCAGGGACAAAACAGCAGAAGGCUGCAGUCAGCAUCCUAAAGCAUAUUUGUGUCCUGCAUCUUGUCAUGAUUGAUGCUCUGCACUCAUGGCACUUGACAAACAUUGUUUUGCAGGUAGUUAGCAUGAUGACAAAUUAACAAAUGAAAUAAAUGGAUUACAAAGCAUUUACGCAGUCAUUUAUGCCUUUUUCACAUCCAGCCUGGAUUACUACAGAGUGAUCAGAGGCUACUUACGAAGCGAUAUAUAAGCUUUACAAGGUGCAACAUGCAGCAGGGUGAUUAAUGCAGAAGGAUUAAUGAACAUAAUUUUGAAUCAGUAGCUUUUGUCUUACGCCAUUUGCUCAUUUUGUUAUUAAUAGGCACUGAAAUCAUGACCCUUAUUUCAUAAAUCCUUAAAGGACUGGUAAUGGGCUGAUAGUAUUCUUGAAACAUCUUUGAAACAGCCUCAGAUAAACAGGAACAAAAGAGAUGAUCAUCCAGGAGCAAACAUCUGAGAAGCAGGGUAAAUUACCUUGGGUGACGGUCCACUCUAUCAUGGCAGCAGUGCUUCUGGCUCCUCCAUACUUUACUGGUUUGGUACUGUAAGUCUCAGUGGACUAUUGCUGGGGGGUCCUCAGGUUUCGAAUGACUUACUGGAGUGUCUCUCAAAAUCUGUGGUGGAGAAUGACACAAGUCAUUUUUCAUAUGCGUCAUCCCUUGCUAUGUGGUGUGCUGCAUUUGUAGACAAUGACUAAAAGUGCUCCUUUCUAAGACAGACUUCACAAGAUCUAGGUGUUUCUGCUGAGCUGCAGAGGAUUUGCCAGGGUGCUCUGGAGCAAAUCACAGCACAAAGAUGCCCCUCACUUUGCAUGGGUACCAUCAGUGUGUGGUGCUGGCCUGCUACAGCUGCCAAAAUUCUGUUCUUCUGAGGUCUCGUUCUGGGAUAAACUUGUUAAAAUUUGGUUUGUCCACUCCAUACGACAGAGAGCAGAGAUCAUGAUCCUAAGCACAUUCCAUGGAUGUUUCCCAUUGUCUUGUUUUGGACAAAUAAUCAGAAAGGUAAUUUGUACCGAAAGUAUUUUGGGUUCAUUCUUUUUUUUUAUUUUAAGUUUGAUUUUUUAAAUGAUGCAUAGUAAUUUUUUAUGUGUUGUUAAUCUGAUGUGUACCACAAGAUAAAGGAAACUUUUGAUCUUACACUUACAGUUUAGCAAGUUAACACGUGUCAUCUGAGCUGUGGUAACUGCCCAAUUUUCUGUUCUUUGCCUGUGGCAGCUACUUAAUAGUUCCAUUUAACUGGCCCUCAGAGAAAGCACCUGCAGAGAUUUGGUGUACCGCAGACUGUCUCACCCCUUACAAGCAUGUGAAGGUGUGAGUUUCUCAAUUUGACCACCACAGUUGACCGCAUACUUGUAGUAUCUUGAAUUAUGGUGUAUAUAUUUGUACAGAACAUAUUGAAAGUCAGCUGGGAAGCUCCCCCCAGUUAUGAAGCACUGAACAUCUGCAGGAUGAGCAACUCACACUCUGGGAGAACAUAACUGUCAUAUGACUGCUAGAGGACAUGUUUUCAGUGGUAGCAUUAUACAUUUGUGGUCCCUGAGGUGAUGAUGUGGAGAGCCAAAAGUCUGGGGUAUGGUAAGGGAGUUGGCAUGGGCUCUAGGGGAGUGAAGUCUGACACUGCAGGUUUGUAACUCAUUCUAGAAAUUAAGAUGCACUAUUUUUGGAGAUGUUUGCUACAGAAAAACACCACACCUUGUCUGAAGUGCAAAGAUGGAAAAGAAAAGAGAAUGAGGUAAUAGGCAAGGGAAUGAUGGCAAUUGAAGUGCCAGUUGUGCCUUAAGGUGGCAUGAACAGGUCUAAGGAAGGGAAGGAAGGGGAACUGAAGGAAGUGAAUUAAGCUUUAUGUAAGAGCUGUGACUUCAGGCUUAUACCAGUAGCUGAAAAAUUAAUUUGUUGAACAAAAGUGGAUGACCAACCUGUUCCAAGGCUAUUUUGUGCAUUAAAAUUCAGGAAAAAAACAGUAAAAAGAAUGAUAAAAUAUUACUAAUAGUAAGAAUGUGAUGCUUUUCCAUCAACAUUACAUGUGAAAUAUAUGCCUGAAAGCGAAUUGUGGUGAUCAGAAAGUAGAAAAUAGACACUUGGAAGAGAGCUCUAGUUGAUGCACACUCAUAGAGAUGAACAAGAUGAGAAACUACUCUUAUCCCCACUCUUUUGGUGAGUUGCAGGCUGACAUGCCUAACAUUCCCCAAUCAGUGUACAGUUCUGUAAACUAAUUGAGAUGAUUCAGCUAUCUUGUGUUGCAGUGAUGCUCUUUUCCAUAUGUAAUGCUGAGGAUCUUCAGGUAGCAGUGACCAAGCUAUCUCCAGAUUUAGGAGCAGUGAUGACAGCAUUUAGUCAGGUGCAGAACUGCAUUAAUGCUUCAUUGCUGUCAAUGUCCAAACAGGACCUCUUGGUCUGAUGUGGGACAAUUGAAGCAUUGGGCCCAGCCAGCAUGGGUUCAUGAAAGGCAGGUCCUGCUUAACCAGCCUUGUCUCUGUCUGUGAUCAAGUGACCUGCCUGGUGGAUGAAGGAAAGGCUGUCAACAUAGUCUACCAAGAAUUCAGCAAAGCCUUGACGCUGUCUUCCACAGUAUUCUCCUGGAGAAGUUGGCAGCCCACAGCUUGGACAGGUACACACUUUGCUGGGUAAAGAAGUGGUUGGAGGGCCAGGUCCAGAGAGUGGUGGUGAAAGCAGUUAAAUCCAGCUCGCAACUGGUCAUGACUGGUGUUUCCCAGGGGUCAGUAUUAGAGCCCUGUCCUCCUCAGUAUCUUUAUCUGAUGAUGUGGAUGAGAAGAUUGAGUGCACCCUCAGUAAGUUAGCAGAUGACACCAAGUUGGAGUGUCAAUCGACCUGAGGGUAGGAAGGCUCUAUGGAGGAGUCUGGACAGGACAGAUAGCUGGGCUGAGGCUAAUGGCAUGAAAUUCAACAAGAACAAGUGUCAGGUCCUGCACUUUGGCCACAACAACUUCGAGCAACACCACAGGCUUCGGGCAGACUGUUGGGAAGACCGUGUGGAAGAAAUGGACCUGGGGUCUUUGGUCAACGCUCAGCUGAACGUAAGCUAGCAGUGUGUCCAGGUAGCCAAGAAAACCAAUGGCAUCCUGCCUUGUGUCAGAAGUAGUGCAGCCAGCAGGAGCGGAGGGGUGAUCGUCCCCUUUUACUUAUUACCUUGAGUACUGUGUUCAGUUUUGGGCCCUUCACUACAAGAAAGACAUUUCUCUGUGUCCGGAGAAAGGGAAUGAAGCUGUAAGGAGGCUGGAGCACAAGUCUUAUGGGGAGUUACUGAGGGAACAGGGAUUAUUUAGUAUGGAGAAGAGGAGGCUCAGAGGAGACCUUAUUGAUCUUUGCAAUGACCUGAAAGGAGGCUGUGGUGAGCUGGGGGUCAGCCUCUUCUCUCAGAUGACAGGGAUAAGAUGAGAGCUAAUGCCCUCAAGUUGUGCCAGGGGAGGUUCAGGUUGGAUAUUCAGAAAAAAUUUGUCUCCAAAAGAGUAGCCAGGUGCUGGAACGGGCUGCCCAGGGAAGUGGUUGAGUCAUCGUCCCUGGGAGUGUUCAAGAAAUGUUUAGGUGUACUGAGGGAUAUGGUUGAGCAGGGAAAUAUUGGUGGUAAAUGCGUGAUUGGAUUAAAUGAUCUUGGAAGUCUUUUACAACCUUGGCGAUUCUAUGAUCUUAUGAUUCUAUGGCCUCAAUCACAGUUUGGGUUCAACAUAGCUACUUCAGCUAAUUAAGAAUUAAAAAUGUGUGGAGAAAGCAAAGAAACAUUGCAUUCAGUCAGCACUAUAGUAAAAGGAAAAGUAAAGACUGUGUGGCCUUCAAGAGCUAAGCCCUGUAGCCCGCAGGACAAUCCUGUGUGUAGAAGGCAGUAGACGUGCAGCAGGAGGAAGCCUUGGUUGUGUUCUGAAUUUCUUGAUGCAUUUGAACAGUUGCCUUGACCAUACUGGAAUAAUUAAUGGGACUUGAUAUUUCUGAGUGUACUUAACUACUGAUUUAUGCAUUACCAUAAGCUCACCAUUGUCCAAAUGUACCUGUAGGGCCUCAGCUAAAGGCUUUGAAGUCAGUAUCAGUCUGAAGAGAAUGCGAGGUUGAUCAUGCCCUUAAACAAAUACUUCCGGAAGGCCCACUGUGCAUAUAGAGAAGUAUUUUCUUGCUAAGCUGACAUUUUAAAAUUAAACAUUUUUUUGGCUCCAGGCCUUAAAGGAAAUAGGACAAGUUUCUCUUCACUUAUUUUUUAAUGAUGCAAAAAAUAAGUUUAAGCUUCUUUUUAUUUUAAAGUGACUAUGUAUCUCUUUUCAGACUCUUCUAACUCAGCCCAACAACAACAAAUACCCUAAGCUCACAGAUGGAAGAGAAAGCAUCAGAAAGUACUGACUUAAAAUGUCUUUUAAAGUUUUAAGUUUGGAAAGCAGUGAAUGAAUGGAAACUCUUUUGCAACCAUAAGAACUCUUUUUGCAGUGGAUGCCAGUUUGUGGGUGUUUGUGUGUGUCAGAGCUUGUCACGUAGUUAUUGGGAUUAUAUUUUCCAUGCAUACUUAUGAAUCACUCAGAAAUAGAUCCUGGUUUCUGCUAUUGCUUUACUAUUUGUAAGCAUAAACUCAAUAAUUUGGACGAUUACAUUUCAGAAUGUCUAUAAGCCAAUUGCUUUAGUGUGUCACUUCUGACUGUUUAUGUGACAUGAUUGAUUAACUAUAUUACAGUGUAAGCUUUCAGCUUUCCUUUUGGAGAAUUAAAACUUUUAAGAAGUCCAAACAAUGAAUAUAAAAUUAAAUCAUCCAGAAUGUAACAGCUAAAGGAUCUGACUUAAUUCCUUUUUUUCAGUCUUCACCCAAUGGGAAGUGAGUGCUGUAUGUCUUCUAUGAAGUUGAAUAAACUUCUGCUCGUUUCAAUUAUGUUGCUGAAUCAAAAGACCAACUCCUAGGAACUGCUCACGAUCAGUUUAGCGCAGUGUUAUUGUUGUCAUUUAAUCUCACAGACCUGAAGAAGGAUUCAUAGUAGGAUGAAGACGGGGCUUCUCGAUGGUUGCUUUCACACCAGCUGACCACCUGCCUCCUUAAAUCUGGAAUUAAUGCAUGCACAGCAAGCAUAAGAAUAAACAAUGUAAGAUUUUACAUAAUUUCAUGCUUUCUAUGAAUUGUUUGAUGAUUUCAAAAUGACUGUUGUUGCAAGUAAGUUAUGGCUUGUGCUAUUCAAUUUAUAAAUGAUCUAAAAUAAAUUUCAUACAGUGACAGUUUUCUGAUGAUAUUAUUUACUUUAAAGAAAUCAAAAGUCAGCUAUAAAGAGAUGCAGAAGUAUCUCAUAGUACUGAAAUACUAUACAAAUUAAUAAGUCUAUAUAAAAUAAUAUACAUGGGACAAAAUCCUAACUUAGUGUGUAUCAUGAAUUGAUGGUUUGGGGUUCUUGGGAUUUGGGAUUUUGAUGAAUGGUUCUAUGAAAAUGUGGAGUUAACAUAUGAAUUCCUUAGAAGAAAAAAAAAAAAAAAGGAAUAUUAGGGAUUCUGAAGAAAGCAGUAGAAAACAAGGAGACAACUAUCAUCAUUUUGUCACCACUUAAUGGUGAUGAAUCUCUGAGGCACGUAUGCCUUGACCAUCCAGUGCAUUUAUGAUCACUUCACCUCAAAAAACAUAAUACAGCUGCAAAAGUCUCAGACAAGGGCAACAAAGGACAAGUGAACUUCUGGAAUGGCUUCUGAGCCGUGCAGGAACACUGAGCAGAUUACAGAGACAGCUUAGAGGGUAUACAACAGAAGUCUAUUAAAUCAUGAGUGCCAUUAAAGAGGAUAGGAGAGAAAAUGUUUGUUCUCUGUUUUUCCUCUCAGCAAGACCUAGGAGUAAAAACUACGAAACAGUAAGUGCAAAACAGAUGACAAGUGGUUGUUAUCCUUGUAACAGAGAGCUAAAGUGAGGAAUUCCCUGAUACAAAACAUUAUGGGUGCUAAAAGUUCACAUGGAUUGAGUGGUGUUUGGACAAUUUUCCAGUUAUUUCCCAGUUUGCUUGUCCUGUACUUGCACUCUUAGCUAUGAAUACUGAACUGAACAUUGGUCUGACUUGACAGAUCUGUUAUUUACAUGAUCAAUACCAUCUUAUUAUAGAAAUUAGUCUCAUUCCAAGGGAGCAAGGAUUGUGAUUUUUGUUUUUAGCUGCAAAACUCUAAUGUUUAGAGAAUAUUAUUUAAGCAACCAGUCAACAGCAGAAACCAGAAAAUUUGUCAAAACUGGAAUUCAGCUUGUGUCUGUUUGUUACUUUACUAGAUUAUUUCUAGAAUGCUACCUUCUGCACUUCAAAAUGGGCAACUUGAUAGCAGGAUAUAAAGACUUUGUAUCUUGCACGCCUGUUCAGAAUUAUUUUCCUGCAUCAGGUGAACAGGUGAAAAUGAGAAUGAAGAAAAUAUCUUCCUUAUCGGAAGAUAUUCAAGACCUGCCUGGAUGCUUUCCCGUGCAACCUGCUUCAGGGUACCUGCUUUAGCAGUGUGGUUGGACUUGAUCUCUAGAGGUUCCUUCCAGCCUCUUUGAUUCUGUGAUUCUACGAUUGCAUGUGAUUCUGUCUUCUGAAGGUUAAAAAUUCUAGUAGUUAAUUUGUUGCUUCAACAAAGACAUAACAAAUUCACCUUACUCAGCUACCCUGUCAGAACCAUAACAAUAAGCCAAAUCCACAAAUCAACCAAAACACAAGGUUUUGGUCUUCAUUUGCAACAUAUGUCUGUUACAUGCAAACCAAUGAAACUCCAUUUAACUGGACUACCUUGAGCUCAGCUCUCCCAUAAACUACAGAAGGAGUGAACUGACCUACUUUUCAGUUCUUAUAGUUAAGGCAGUGUAAAACCUGCUUCUGUAGCCAUUUAAAACUUAGUUCUGAAGACAGUUUAAAGUGACUGUUUUUGCUAUGCAUCAAAGCCAAAGAGAGCGUAUAGAAGUGUGUCUUUUGUAUUGUUCUCUCCAGUGUACCAGAUUGCUUUUUUUUUCUCCUCAGGUUUAAUAACUCCACCUGUUAGUCAAUUCACUCACUAACAUUAGUGAUAGAUAUUUGUAUUCUAGGCUAUGACCUAUGACUGUAACUCUAGGAACUGUGUGCGUUGUCUACUGGUAGAAGAAAAAUAGGCUUGUAAAGGGGUCUAUCUCCUGAACAUAAUUUAUACAUAAAUUAUGCAAUCAUUCAUACAGGCUCUUACAUAGAAUUAUUUUUUUAAUUAAUAAGGAGGACUUUAUUUACACUCAGAGAAAAUAUAUAAAAUCAUAUUGCCUGGAACUAAAUUACAGGAUUCAUCUCAGUAAAUUAAAGGAAAAUAGCAUAAAAAUUUGCAAUGAGCAAACAAAAUACUAAAUUAGGUUGUGACUGAAGCUAACAGAAAGCCUACCAUAUCUGUUAGUCUUUCUUUUAAUCAGGAAAGCUGGAGGUGGAAAGAUCUCUGUAAGAGUCACAACUUUAUAAUGUGAUUUAUUUCAGGACUUGAGAACACAGUUAUAUUAACCCCUCCAGUGAGUCAUGGCCCAUGUGCUCUUCCACUCAUUAUUUGGAGGAGAAAUGGAUAUGUGGGCAUUCCUGAAAAUCAAAAUGCAGAACAACUUGCCAGGCAGUACUCGGUUAGGAAGACAGAGGCCUUUGUAGGCUCAGAUCUGUUUCUGCACACAAGGUUAUGUUCCGGUUGAACCUGCUGUUGAAGAAAAAAAUAUUUUAAAAAAACAUUAUUCUAUACAACUUGACAAUGUAUUGCAGUUUCCAUUGAGAGAAUGGUUUUACAUAUGGUACCAGUGAUACUUAUUUCUUCAUUCUGGCAUUUUCCAUACCUGUGCUUUUUAAACAAAGAUUUAAGAUUGCUGUCCUACAAUCUACAAAAACACAAAUGGUUGUCCUCUUUGACAUUACUGACUUCAUUUGUCUGUGAAAUGCUUCUUAUUCACACUUCAAACUCCAUCUCACCUUUCCUCAGUACCUUUCCAAUUUCCAACUGUGAUUGCCAAUAUACUUGAUACCUCCCUUGUUUCUUUCUAUUAGCAUCACUUUUGCUGCAUUGCCAGUUCUUGAAGCUAUAAGAAAGUGGGCAAGAUGAGGAAGUAGAAGUGAGAUAAUUUGGUGCCUUUGCCUUUGGUUGCCCUUUUCAUUUGUGAAAAUUCUCUGGCUGAAAUAGUAAAUAACAUGGAAAGUAGACUCUAUAAAGUUUCUAAAUCUCUCUUUCCCAUGACUUUUUUUUUCAUAAUAAUAAUAUUUUAACCAUUGUUUUGGAUUAUAACCCUUAGUGGGAAACAACUAUGGCCAUGAAAUUAUAGAGUCAUGUGAGUACUUCUGCUAUCCUCUGGUACCUUACUGUGCAUUUGUAGUAGAACUGCUGAAUUUGCCUUCCGUGGAAGACAAAUACACUACUUAGGUUGAGGGUACUCCUUCCUUUGGACAUUUCUAAAAACUGUACUUCAGAUGUCACAAAAGUUCUUUUAUUAAAAUGUGGCCCUGUGUUAUACUUCACUGGUUAAUAUAACAUAAACUUUGAUAUCAUUCAAUAUGGGAAAGGACUUAAAACAAUGUCUCAAGGUAACACCUAGCAUUAAUUCUAAGAGUCAUUCAUUUCUACUGGCUUUAGCAUUGGGAAUGUGAAAUGGUUGCAGGAGCAAAGAAGAAAGUACAUCAGGAUUCACAUUCUCAGUCUUUUUUUAUGGCUGCAGUUUUCUCAUCCUUAUGACUUCUUGAAAUAUGACAAAGACCAAGAAGACAGGAAACAGGGCAGAAAGUACUGGUGUCAUCAUUGUUCCUUUCUACUUUUAUGAGCUGAAUCACAGGAUGGGGGGGAAGGGGUUGGGAUAGGAUUAAAAAAACUCAUAAGGAGGGGUGUCCACUUCCCACCUGACAUGACUUCCUGAAAAAAAUUCUGUCCUAAUUCCUAAGGCAUAAUUCCUCUCUGAGAUCUACCAAGGAUGAGGGCAGGGAAGAAGAGCGUUGAAGGAAAACUGUGCUUAACAGACCAGCUGAGCACACACAAAGCUGGAGUUAUAUGAAUAAAUGAGACACUGCUAUACAAAUAAAUGAGACAGAUGCUCCAAAAGUAAUGCCUCUGAUUUUAUUUUGUUGGCUUGUGGCAUCAAAGGCAGAUGGCGGUGGUGAAUCCUACUGCCUAUAUUCCAUUAAAUUUUGUUGCAGUAGAGAGGCAGUCUGACAAAAUGGUGCCUGACAUGGAAAUGCACAUGAAGCAAAGGUGUGUAACUGAAUUCUUCCAUAUGGUACAAGUUGGCAGUUAACUGACAUUCAGUGAUGCUUGCUCAACGUAUAUGGAGACCAAAUAGUGGAUGUGAGCACAGUGAGGUGGUUGGUGGUGUGUUUCAGCAGUGGUGAAAGCAGUGUGAAAGAUAAGCCAUGUUCCAGAAAGCCAUGCACAGCUGUCACAUCAUGAAAUGAAGAGUGUCUCUAGCAGCUCCUCCACACAAAUCAGCUACUGAUUGUGACUGUUGAAAAGUACUGUUUUAUAGCUGAGAGUUUGCUCUAUCAAAUAGCGUUGUUGUGCUCUUUGUAUCUUUUGCAGUUUCCAUGGAAAUAAAUAGGAGAAAUAGUUUCAGAAUGGCCUACAUAAAUAAAUAAUAUAAAACAAUACAUAAGAAGACAGUGUUAGCUCUCCUCUUAGCUGGAAGAAUAUGUGCAUAUACUUGGAUUUUUUGGAAGAUGUUCAAAGAACUUCUUUGUUUUCAGAAAUACACACGUUGCUUCCCAUUAUUCAGGAAUGUUUCUUUUCUUGAGCCAAUUUCUCUCCGCAUGAGAUGAAUACAGAAAAACCUCCAGGUAAGGUGCUUAAAGCAAUGAAACCAUAGAACUCAAAACAAUUUUUUUUACAAUUGCUGCAUAUGUUUUUCUGCAGUUUUAACCUACUUAAGCACUAGUUUGAGUAAUGAAUUCUUAAAACUUGCUUUACAUAUCUUGCAUAAGGUACAUCACAAUGCAAACGUUAUUCUGUGAUAUUUUAUGAUGAACACUUAUAAAUGUGUUCCUGCAGUACAAUUGGUUUUUCCACAUAAAGAAUGAAGGUGGUAAAAGCAUAUUUUCAGUUUAAUUACAAGUAAUAUUUCUCAAGAACAUUCCCUCCUCUUCCUCUUCCUCUUCCUCUUCCUUUUUGACUUUAUUUUCCCUUUAUUUUUUUUAUAGCCUUUUCACUUGAAUUACUCCACUUUGUGCUCCAUUCUCUCCUUUUGUCUAUUCUUAAGCUUCAACAUCUAGCCGACAAUCUCUCCAAUUUUUCUGAUCACAUACAUCCACUCCUCAUUUUUUUCUUGUAUCUUCUAAGACAAAAUUAUAUCCUUCUCCAGCAGAAAUGCUGUAUUCCUUAAUGAAAGGUACUACUCAGUAGAAACAGUUGAGAAGUUCUCCACAUGAGUAGUUCAGUUCUUUAGUUGAAAUGUUCUUAAUACUUACAGAAUGUUCUAGCACAUUUUUUUGCUUAUUUUCUCUCGACAGUUUUUUUCCAUUCAGUAUGCAUCUUUUGUUUGCUAGAUCUUAGCAACUAUUUCUAAAAGAUCAAUUAAGUCUUCGUAAUUUAUAUCCACUUUCUUGCCUCUCAUAUUUUGCCUAAAAUCUCAUUCUCAGUAUUCUCUGCAUCUGCCCUGAUAAACCUGUUUUCUUCUGUUUACCAGUAUUCCUUGUUCACAUUUCUGAUUUUGAAUCAGAUAGUGGGGUGAUUCAUCUGACCUACUUGAGAUGUGUAUAUCAGAGUUAGAUGAAUUAUACCACAGAAUUGCCUCUUUCUUUUUGCUGCUAUUAACUACAAAGAGAUACUGGAUGACUUGUAUAGAUAUAAAUAUAUCCAAAGUUAGAUGAACAAUAUUGCAUUCUUUUGCCCAAAUAAAUCAAGUAAGUGAAGAAAACUCUAUAUAUAAGGCUGUUCUGUUUCACAUUGGGCUGAAAGUGGAAAUACUUGAAGAGUUCAUCCACUUGACCAAGUGCUGGACUGGUUGAAGGCAGGAAAUCAGAUGACCUGCUCAGGUAGUGAUGGCCGGCUGUUGCAAAGAAAGGAAAACUUCUCACUAUGAUGAUAAAACAUGUAAAUAUCAUGCCAAAAUACGUAAGUAUUUCUUCUGUUACAUUGACACACUCAAAGUAUCACUAAGAACAAACUACCCAGUCAGGGCUACUUGGAAACAUCAGCGAUAAAGAGAAGUUGAACAUCCAGAGGUCAUUUAUCCUAAAGAAGAAAUGUCUGCAGAAGGAUAUGACAUUAGCCUUCAAAUGCAUAAAAGAUUGAUGAAAACAAGAGAGGCACAAUCUGUUCCCCCAUCCAAGGUGCACAGGAGAAAAUACAAAGAGCUUCAGUUUUAACAAGGAGUGUGAUUUAGAGCUCUUUUUUUUUCUCCCCUGUAUUUCUGUAACUGUCAUUGGAAUAAAAAAUGUCUUACAUUGUGUAUGUAUGUGUGUGUGAAUGAGAAUUUUUGCAGAUGAGUCUAAUUUAAAAAGCCUUUCACGUGAAAGCCAACUGUUAGGUGCUAAACUGUAAAACCGAGGCUCAGAUUUCAACUGACUUGUGCCUAGGGAACAAGAAGAGUACUGUUCCUCUGAUUCAUGAAAGGGGUGUGUGUUUGUCACCAUCUCUCUUAUCCUUUUGUCUGCAGAGAAUCUGGGUACAGCUUGGGGCUAUCAGCUGAGAAAACAAGCUUUUAAAUCACAAGCUUCAGGCAGUUAAGUGAAAAGUAUGUGCUAAGUUUUUUUUUUUAUAGGAGGCAGUGGCACCUCCACCUUAUUAUUGUUUUAGGAUUUUACUUGUUCUCAUUGGGACCUCAGAUAAAAGCUUUUAUAUCCGAUUGGUGUUUGAACAGCUUCCUCUUUUGCAUGUCUUCCACAUCAUAGAGACAUAAAAGUCCCACAGAAGCAUGGGGUAGAGAGAUAUUGGAGAACGGGAAGUUUCAAAAUGAGAAAUGAACUUUUUCCCUUCUAACUCAUUUGACAAUACACAGAUACAACUAGCAGAGGAGACAAACUGGGAUGGAUCAGAAGUGACAGAAAGACAGCUGUGCAUACCUGGCAUACACUUGCUGGAAUAAAGCAGCAUCUGUAUACAAUAAGCCUUGCUUAUUUAUUUAUUUAUUUUUCUGUUGCCAUCACGAAUUAUAGUUUCUGCUUAAUGAUAAGGACACUAAUAACAAUAAGAAAAAGAUAGUAAGUUAUUAAUGGGUACAAGGAGUAAUAAACAAUAUUGAAAACAUCAAGGAAUCAGGUUUGUUUUCUUUUUUUCCAUUCCUAAAUAGCAAUUACUCUUUUUCUUUCUUUCCCCCAAACAACUUUUUGCUUUACAUACUCCUAUAAAAUUGAAAAUGGAUUUCCUGUCCUAUGGCAUAAGUCACCAAAUUCCCUUCUAUCAAAUUAAUUAUAAAGUUAAAGAUAGCCAAACAACAUGAUCUAGUUAAAUUUCCCACAGCUUAUGAUAUUUCUGAACUCUGCGUUAAGAAAUUUGUACAGAAGGAUUCUUUCUACCAUGCUGCAUGAAUGUUGAAAUCUGAGAAAUCUGUUUAAUGAAAUGAUGACUAAGUUAAAGAAUCCACAACAACAGGAC